rnacentral:rRNA from 1 species
GAUGAACGCUGGCGGCGGGCCUAAUACAUGCAAGUCGAGCGAACAGACGAGGAGCUUGCUCCUCUGACGUUAGCGGCGGACGGGUGAGGAACACGUGGAUAACCUACCUAUAAGACUGGGAUAACUUCGGGAAACCGGAGCUAAUACCGGAUAAUAUAUUGAACCGCAUGGUUGAAUAGUGAAAGACGGUUUUGCUGUCACGUAUAGAUGGAUCCGCGCCGCAUUAGCUAGUUGGUAAGGUAACGGCUUACCAAGGCAACGAUGCGUAGCCGAUCUGAGAGGGUGAUCCGCCACACUGGAACUGAGACACGGUCCAGACUCCUACGGGAGGCAGCAGUAGGGAAUCUUCCGCAAUGGGCGAAAGCCUGACGGAGCAACGCCGCGUGAGUGAUGAAGGUCUUCGGAUCGUAAAACUCUGUUAUUAGUGAAGAACAAAUGCGUAAGUAACUAUGCACGUCUUGACGGUACCUAAUCAGAAAGCCACGGCUAACUUCGUG